rnacentral:ncRNA from 1 species
AUUAGAUAAGGGCAAACUUAUCGAAAGGUAAGGACGCAAAGCUUAAGGGACUAAAGAUCUAUUGAUCAAAGUUAGCCAGCUACCUAA